UACGUAGGGGGCAAGCGUUGUCCGGAAUCAUUGGGCGUAAAGCGCGUGUAGGCGGCCCGAUAAGUCUGCUGUGAAAGUCCAAGGCUCAACCUUGGGAUGCCGGUGGAUACUGUCGAGCUCGAGUCCGGAAGAGGAGUGUGGAAUUCCUGGUGUAGCGGUGAAAUGCGCAGAUAUCAGGAGGAACACCAAUGGCGAAGGCAGCACUCUGGGACGUGACUGACGCUGAGACGCGAAAGCGUGGGGAGCAAACAGG
rnacentral:rRNA from 1 species